AGGAGAAGGAGAGGUACACACACACACACACACACACACACACACACACAUAGCUGCUGAACCCAGAGAUGUUACGUAUGCUGACGUUGAAUCACACAGGACCCAGAACCCAGGAGAAGGAGAGGUACACACACACACAUAGCUGCUGAACCCAGAGAUGUACGUAUGCUGACGUUAGAAUCACACAGACCCAGAAACCAGGAGAAGGAGAGGUACACACACACACAUAGCUGCUGAACCCAGAGAUGUUACGUAUGCUGACGUUAGAAUCACACAGGACCCAGAACCCAGGAGAAGGAGAGAGAAGUCUCCAGGAGCUGAUCCAGUCUACUCUGCAGUGAAGACCUCCAACACCACAUUUCCAGGUGGAUCUGGUCCAGGUGAUGUGACCUAUGCUGACAUCAACCACACAGAGAAGAGACAACACAACAGGAGGAGAGAGAAAGUCGUUCCAGACCCGGUCUACUCAGCAGUGAAGACAGACAGAGAUACAGGUCAGAAGGUCGUUCCAGACCCUGUCUACUCAGCAGUGAAGACAGAUAGACAGACAGAGAUACAGGUAAAGCUGUAUCUGGAUCCGGGGUAAUGUACGGAGAGGUAGGUCCAGAUUAUUAUUAUUAUUUUUAUUUUUUUCACCUUUAUUUAACCAGGUAGGCUAGUUGAGAACAAAUUCUCAUUUGCAACUGCGACCUGGCCAAGAUAAAGCAUAGCAGUGUGAACAGACAAC
rnacentral:lncRNA from 1 species